CUGGGCUCCGCCCGGACUCCGCUCGGACUCGGCUCCGGCUCCGACUCGCGUCGGCUCGGCUCCCGCGCGGGCUCCCACCUGCCCCGGCUGCCGGGCUCUGGCGGGCGGGCUGCACGCGUCUCCGGCCGCUCCUCCUCCAGCCGCCGCCGAUGCUAUCGCCCGGGCUCGCACAAAGCCCCGGAGUGGAGUUGCACGCGCGCACACUCUCCCUCCCAGCCCCCUCCCCUGCGCCCUGCCUCCCGCCUCCCGCGCCGCCCGCCGCCCGCGCUCCCUCCGCGCACUCCCCCGCGCACACACACUUCACACUCACACUUGCCGAGGCGCACACUCGCGCGCUCACACCUGCGCGGGGGGCGGGGAAGGGGACCCUGGCCCCAUUGUAGGGGGACGCCCGGAGAACGAGGACUCUCCUCGCUUCCCAGACGUCCCCACCCGCCCCGCCGGCCCCAGUCCCUUCUACUGCGAGGGCACGGAGCCCGGGAGCCAGGCGUGGAGCGCGAGAGCUGGCACCGCGAGCUGGGAGACGGCGGCAGCCCAGCGGCCGGACCAGCUGGAGGAGACGCGCCCGCCGGGAGCAGCGAGACCGGGAGCCCGCCGUCUGCGGAGCCUGGCCUCGCGGCUCCCACGCGGCGGGCGCUGGCUGGACGGCGGUGGCAGCGGGAGACUGACCCGGGAACCGGCUUCCCUCCCCAACCCCAUUCCUCCUGGCAGCAGAGUUGGGGCUGGGGGUUCGGAGAGGCAGAAUUCAAAGCGAAUUGUCUACGCUGGGCCAGGGGAGCUGAGGGAGUUGGUAGAGGUGGGAGAGCCCAAGUCAGACCCCCUGCUGUGGGAAGCUGGACUUGACCGCGCACAGGUCCUGGGGCUGCGGAGGAGGAAGACCGCUCACGCCUUAGAUGUAGGGGGGCGUGGGCGCCGGGCCCGCUCCCUCUCAGCCCUCUCCCGUAACUGUGCAGGAAGGGCUGGUGCCCCCUCCCUCAUUCUCCUGAGAAAGAAUAAAGAGAAACUGUAAUUUGUCGUGGGAUGGAGUAGGAUCCGUGGGGGAGCAAGCUAAAGGGGUUAAAAAGAAAAACAACGUUGUUUAUUAGCAAUAAUAAUUUUUUUUCAAGUGGCGCUGGGUGUGAGGGAAGGGAAAGGCUGUGGAGCGAGGCUGGAGCAGGAGGCUGCGAAUUACUCAGUUAGGCGAGUUUAAUGACCUUUUUGACAGAGACAAAGCGGUGCCGAUACAGUAGAUAAAUAAACGGAUCUGUCACCGGGCA
rnacentral:lncRNA from 10 species